rnacentral:rRNA from 1 species
AUGGCUCACAUGAAGUUUCGUGCCGUUCCGACCUCGUUUGAUACGGUUAUGGUUAACCACACCGGCCCCCUCGGGCCCGACCCGAGCCCAGUCAACGUUUUGACCCGAUCAAAUCGGCCCGUGACCCGAAACGACCCUACUUGGGCCCUACAACAGCCACGUAAAGUUUCGGGAUGAUCCGACGUUCUUUCAUGGGGUUACGGACAAUCCACGCCAAACAAGCGUCACGGGCCGACCGAGCCGGGCCAACGGGCCCUCGGGACCCGAAAACUGAAUUUUUUUUCAUCCAAACCCAUUAAAACACGUUACCGAGGUCUCACGCAAAAUUUCAUGCCAAUCCGACGUCGUUUGAUGGGGUUUUGAAAAAUUAUGAUUCCUCAAAAAUUUAAUGUCUGUUCCUGUCACUUAGCUUUUUGUGCAAAAUGUAUAUAUAGGGGAGGGGUGGGUGUUGAGCAGCCCAUGCCCGGGCAAGGCAUGCCAGCGCCCAAGCCAAAGGAGGCUGGUGGCGUGCGUAUAACAGCUCAAAUGCCCCAACGAUGACCGAGAACAAGCGCCCAUCUCCCCUCAUUCCCCCCCCACCAAGCGCCCCUCCCCCCCCCCCAUGUUGCCUGCCCACUCGCACAGCUACUCGUGAUUUCAUGCCCAGCGACUAGUGAAUGUGCCUCGACGACCAGCAAACCUCGAAAAUUAUGAUUCCUCGUAAAAUUAAUGUCUGUUCCUGUCACUUUACUUUUUGUGCAAAAUGUAUAUAUAGGGGAGACCAGGGGCUUGAGCAACCCCUGUGCCCAAGCAAGGGUCAGAUGGAAGCACACGAGACGCGAGGUUUAAAGCCUAUACAAGCAAGGCGUCUGUCUCCCCAAGCCCCAUUGCCUAUAAAACAAGCCCGAUGCCUUGUAAAUGCCCCACACGAUGCCUAUAAACGACAACGAUGUUUGCUAGUUAAUCGAUCGACGCCCCACACCUUGCAGCAUGUUGCCUAGUAAACAAGCCAUGCUGCCUUGGAAGCGCCCCACAUCAUGGCAUGUUGCCUAGCACGCUGCCCUUGUUUCCCGCACGGCGACCUGAAAGCGUGGCCUGACGACGUGCUUGCCUUCGAAAAUUAUGAUUCCUCAAAAAAUUAAUGUCUGUUCCUGUCACUUUACUUUUUGU